GUCUAUGAUCAUGCUACCCUGAACAAGCCCAAUCCCGUCUGAUCUUGGAAGCUAAGUAGGGUCGGGCCUGGUUAGUACUUAGUUGGGAGACCACCUAGGAAGAACAGGUGCUGUAGGCG
rnacentral:rRNA from 1 species